rnacentral:rRNA from 1 species
AGCGAACGCUGGCGGCAGGCCUAACACAUGCAAGUCGAACGAACCUUUCGGGGUUAGUGGCGGACGGGUGAGUAACACGUGGGAACGUGCCUUUAGGUUCGGAAUAACUCAGGGAAACUUGUGCUAAUACCGAAUGUGCCCUUCGGGGGAAAGAUUUAUCGCCUUUAGAGCGGCCCGCGUCUGAUUAGCUAGUUGGUUGAGGUAAUGUCUCACCAAGGCGACGAUCAGUAGCUGGUCUGAGAGGAUGAUCAGCCACAUUGGGACUGAGACACGGCCCAAACUCCUACGGGAGGCAGCAGUGGGGAAUCUUGCGCAAUGGGCGAAAGCCUGACGCAGCCAUGCCGCGUGAAUGAUGAAGGUCUUAGGAUUGUAAAAUUCUUUCACCUGGGACGAUAAUGACGGUACCCGGAGAAGAAGCCCCGGCUAACUUCGUG